GGGGGUGUUCCGGUUUCGACUGGGGUUGUCGACCAUAUCCGUGGCAGGUAGAGCGCCGUUCUCUUAAACCGGCACCAAUAGUAACUGCAGAUAACGCAGACUACACUCUCGCCGCUGCGUAAGUAGUGACGACGGGCACCCGAGGCGCUGUUCCGAGCGUCGGUGUUGCUUGUAACAGACCGGGACUAGUCAGGUUUCUUACCCACGAAGACUUGGCGAAACUUAGUGGGAGUAGGCAUGUAGGGUUUGUCCCUUACACCUUGCAUCGCCGAAAAUUAAGUAAAGGACUAAACCUGUAGAAGCGUAUAUGGGGCGCCUUAGGACGCGGGUUCGACUCCCGCCACCUCCAAAA
rnacentral:tmRNA from 1 species